rnacentral:tRNA from 1 species
GCCCUGGUGGCACAAUGGUUAAGUGCUCAGCUGCUAACAGAGAAGCUGGUGGUUGAAACCCACCCAGUGGCU